GGGGGGGGGGGGGGGGGUGGGUGGUGGGUGGGGGUCGGGCGGGCGGAGGAGGAGCGGGCUGCUCGGACGGUAGCGGCGGACGGGUGAGUAACCCGUGGGGAACCUACCUAUAAGACUGGGGUAACUUCGGGGAACCGGAGCUAGUACCCGAUAAUAUAUUUAACCGCAUGGUUAAAUAUUGCACGACGGUUUUGCUGUCCCUUAUAGAUGGAUCCGCUCCGCAUUAGCUAGUGGGUAAGGGAACGGCUUACCAAGGCGACGAUUCGUAGCCGACCUGAGAGGGGGAGCGGCCACACUGGAACUGAGACACGGUCCAGACUCCUAAGGGAGGCAGCAGUAGGGAAUCGUACGCAAUGGGCGAAAGCCUGACGGAGCAACGCCGCGUGAGUGAUGAAGGUCUUCGGAUCGUAAAACUCUGUUAUUAGGGAAGAACAAAUGUGUAAGUAACUAUGCACGUCUUGACGGUACCUAAUCAGAAAGCCACGGCUAACUACGUG
rnacentral:rRNA from 1 species